UACGUAGGGCGCAAGCGUUAUCCGGAUUCACUGGGUUUAAAGGGUGCGUAGGUGGGCAAGUAAGUCAGUGGUGAAAUCUCCGGGCUUAACCCGGAAACUGCCAUUGAUACUAUUUGUCUUGAAUACUGUGGAGGUCAGCGGAAUAUGUCAUGUAGCGGUGAAAUGCUUAGAUAUGACAUAGAACACCAAUUGCGAAGGCAGCUGGCUACACAAAUAUUGACACUGAGGCACGAAAGCGUGGGGAUCAAACAGG
rnacentral:rRNA from 1 species